GAGGUGGUAGUUUAAUUAAAAUAUUGGCAUUGGAAGCCAGAGAUUAGGUUACAGCCCUACUCCUUG
rnacentral:tRNA from 1 species